rnacentral:rRNA from 1 species
UAUAUCUGACCACACCACCCUGAGCACACCUAAUCUUGCCAAAUCUUGGAAGACGAGCAGCGCUGGGCCUGGUUAGUAGUGGUUAGGAGACCAUCUGGGAGCACAAGGUUUGAUAAGU